CCUACGGGUGGCAGCAGUGGGGAAUAUUGCACAAUGGGGGCAAGCCUGAUGCAGCGACGCCGCGUGAGCGAUGAAGUAUUUCGGUAUGUAAAGCUCUAUCAGCAGGGAAGAACAUGAGGGUACAUGCCUCAAAUGCCCCGGCUAACUACGUGCCAGCAGCCGCGGGAAUACGUAGGGGGCAAGCGUUAUCCGGAUUUACUGGGUGUAAAGGGAGCGUAGACGGGCCUGCAAGCCAGAUGUGAAAGCCCGGGGCUCCAACCCCGGACUGCAUUUGGAACUGUAAGGCUAGAGUGUCGGAGAGGCAGGCGGAAUUCCUAGUGUAGCGGUGAAAUGCGUAGAUAUUAGGAGGAACACCAGUGGCGAAGGCGGCCUGCUGGACGAUGACUGACGGUGAGGCGCGAAAGCGUGGGGAGCAAACAGGAUUAGAUACCCGUGUAGUC
rnacentral:rRNA from 1 species